rnacentral:rRNA from 1 species
UCCGUAGGCGGGCUAAUAAGUCAGGGGUGUAAUCCCACAGCUUAACUGUGGAACUGCCUUUGAUACUGUUAGUCUUGAGUUAUAUGGAAGUAGAUAGAAUGUGUAGUGUAGCGGUGAAAUGCAUAGAUAUUACACAGAAUACCGAUUGCGAAGGCAGUCUACUACGUAUAUACUGACGCUAAUGGACGAAAGCGUGGGGAGCGAACAGGAUUAGAUACCCUGGUAGUCC